AGAGUUUGAUCCUGGCUCAGGACGAACGCUGGCGGCGCGCCUAACACAUGCAAGUCGAACGAGCGAGAGAGAGCUUGCUUUCUCGAGCGAGUGGCGAACGGGUGAGUAACGCGUGAGGAACCUGCCCCAAAGAGGGGGACAACAGUUGGAAACGACUGCUAAUACCGCAUAAGCCCACGGGUCGGCAUCGACCAGAGGGAAAAGGAGCAAUCCGCUUUGAGAUGGCCUCGCGUCCGAUUAGCUAGUUGGUGAGGUAAUGGCCCACCAAGGCGACGAUCGGUAGCCGGACUGAGAGGUUGAACGGCCACAUUGGGACUGAGACACGGCCCAGACUCCUACGGGAGGCAGCAGUGGGGAAUAUUGCACAAUGGGGGAAACCCUGAUGCAGCGACGCCGCGUGGAGGAAGAAGGUCUUCGGAUUGUAAACUCCUGUUGUUGGGGAAGAUAAUGACGGUACCCAACAAGGAAGUGACGGCUAACUACGUGCCAGCAGCCGCGGUAAAACGUAGGUCACAAGCGUUGUCCGGAAUUACUGGGUGUAAAGGGAGCGCAGGCGGGAAGACAAGUUGGAAGUGAAAUCUAUGGGCUCAACCCAUAAACUGCUUUCAAAACUGUUUUUCUUGAGUAGUGCAGAGGUAGGCGGAAUUCCCGGUGUAGCGGUGGAAUGCGUAGAUAUCGGGAGGAACACCAGUGGCGAAGGCGGCCUACUGGGCACCAACUGACGCUGAGGCUCGAAAGUGUGGGUAGCAAACAGGAUUAGAUACCCUGGUAGUCCACACCGUAAACGAUGAUUACUAGGUGUUGGAGGAUUGACCCCUUCAGUGCCGCAGUUAACACAAUAAGUAAUCCACCUGGGGAGUACGACCGCAAGGUUGAAACUCAAAGGAAUUGACGGGGGCCCGCACAAGCAGUGGAGUAUGUGGUUUAAUUCGACGCAACGCGAAGAACCUUACCAAGUCUUGACAUCCCUUGACAGACAUAGAAAUAUGUAAUCUCUUCGGAGCAAGGAGACAGGUGGUGCAUGGUUGUCGUCAGCUCGUGUCGUGAGAUGUUGGGUUAAGUCCCGCAACGAGCGCAACCCUUAUGGUCAGUUACUACGCAAGAGGACUCUGGCCAGACUGCCGUUGACAAAACGGAGGAAGGUGGGGAUGACGUCAAAUCAUCAUGCCCUUUAUGACUUGGGCUACACACGUACUACAAUGGCGUUAAACAAAGAGAAGCAAGACCGCGAGGUGGAGCAAAACUCAGAAACAACGUCCCAGUUCGGACUGCAGGCUGCAACUCGCCUGCACGAAGUCGGAAUUGCUAGUAAUCGUGGAUCAGCAUGCCACGGUGAAUACGUUCCCGGGCCUUGUACACACCGCCCGUCACACCAUGAGAGCCGGGGGGACCCGAAGUCGGUA
rnacentral:rRNA from 1 species